CUCAGAAACUACAAUGAAUGACGGGGCCCGCACAAGCGGUGGAGCAUGUGGUUUAAUUCGAUGAUACGCGAGGAACCUUACCUGGGCUCAAAUGUAUGUUGACGUAUUCUGAAAGGGAUACUUCUUCGGACAAUAUACAAGGUGCUGCAUGGUUGUCGUCAGCUCGUGCCGUGAGGUGUCGGGUUAAGUCCCAUAACGAGCGCAACCCCUAUCAUUAGUUGCCAUCAGGUCAAGCUGGGGACUCUAAUGAAACUGCCUACGCAAGUAGUGAGGAAGGUGGGGAUGACGUCAAAUCAGCACGGCCCUUACGUCCAGGGCUACACACGUGCUACAAUGGCCGGUACAAAGGGCAGCUACCUGGUGACAGGAUGCUAAUCUCAAAAGCCGGUCUCAGUUCGGAUCGGAGUCUGCAACCCGACUCCGUGAAGUUGGAUUCGCUAGUAAUCGCGCAUCAGCCAUGGCGCGGUGAAUACGUUCCCGGGCCUU
rnacentral:rRNA from 1 species